UACAGAGGUCUCAAGCGUUGUUCGGAUUCAUUGGGCGUAAAGGGUGCGUAGGCGGCGCGGUAAGUCGGGUGUGAAAUCUCGGAGCUUAACUCCGAAACUGCAUUCGAUACUGCCGUGCUUGAGGACUGGAGAGGAGACUGGAAUUUACGGUGUAGCGGUGAAAUGCGUAGAUAUCGUAAGGAAGACCAGUGGCGAAGGCGGGUCUCUGGACAGUUCCUGACGCUGAGACGCGAAAGCUAGGGGAGCAAACGGG
rnacentral:rRNA from 1 species